GGGCGUUUAGCUCAGUUGGUUAGAGCGUCAGCUCGACAAGCUGAAGGUCACUGGUUCGAGUCCAGUAACGCCCA
rnacentral:tRNA from 1 species